rnacentral:rRNA from 1 species
UACGUAGGGGGCAAGCGUUGUCCGGAAUCAUUGGGCGUAAAGAGCGUGUAGGCGGCCCGACAAGUCCGCUGUGAAAGUCGAGGGCUCAACCCUCGAAUGCCGGUGGAUACUGUCGGGCUUGAGUACGGGAGAGGCGAGUGGAAUUCCUGGUGUAGCGGUGAAAUGCGCAGAUAUCAGGAGGAACACCGAUUGCGAAGGCAGCUCGCUGGAACGUUACUGACGCUGAGACGCGAAAGCGUGGGGAGCAAACAGG